AUUAUUAUUUUAAAUUCUAUUAUCUCAUUGUGGGUUUUAGGAAAAUGAGGGUAUUUGAGUUUAGUUUUAAGUAAAAGAAAAGAAAUUAUUAUAUUUUAAAGAGAUCUUCAUUCUCUCUCUUCGUGGCUGUUCAAGAGAAGCUUUUUACUUCUUUUCCUCUUUGUGUCAUUUUGUGAUGCAGCCAACCAAGGUCAUAUUUUUGAUGUGUCAAUUCUUCAUAAAUCAACUAGGUUCUAUCAAUCUAAAAAAAAAAUACUUGUUGAUCUAAUCUCCUUCUAGAAAUCUAGAGAAUUAAACCCCACUCCUCUAUUUUAUCCACCUCCUUCUAUUUCAAUCUCUCUCCUCUAAUUUUCUUGGUCCUAAAGUUGCUGCCGAAUUAUUUGCUCAAAAUAGACAGCAUGCAGUUGGAUUUUAGAAAUAUAUGCUAAAUGAAAGUUGUAGAUCUCUUCGAGAUAUUCAAUUUAGGCUCAAAAAUCACUCAAUUCCGACUUGUGUACUAUAAGUUAUGCCUGUUGCAAGUUUGGUGUUGCUACCUUCACUUCUCUCUCCUCUGUUUUCGUCAAUCUAUUUUUGAGAUUUUCUCCAACAUGCAAUCCAAAUUUGCUCCUUGUUUCUUCAUCAAAUUUGUAGAUCUCUUCGAGAUAAUGAAUCUUGGCACAAAAAUCACUCGAUUCGGAGUUCGGAGCUAUGAGUUAUGACCUUUAUAACUUUGGUGUUGUUGCUGCCAUUUUCUUUCGCACUUUCAUUGUCGUCGCUGCAGCGUCAUGGGUGAUGUUGUUGUUGUGUUGAUGUUAGGUACUCUUUCAAUCUUUCUCUCUCUUUAAUUCAUAAAACCCAAUUGUUAGAUGAAGGUAUAAAUUUUGGGUUUAAAAUGUGAUCCUUAUUUAAUCAAUUUCAAUCUAAUUUGUAUGCUACUAAUAGUUAAUGAUUUUCACAAAUCUAGUUGAACUUGGUAUUGAUUUCCAAAAUAGUUGAGAAAAUAGUUUGUUGAACUCAAAGAUUGAAUCUUUUAUCUUUAUUCAAUGGGUUGGAUUGAGGUUUAUAAUUUGUAUUGAUAUUUUUAAGUUAAGUUAUAAAAUCUGAUUUUAUAAACUAUGUUGUUUGAUAAUAUUCUUUAAAAUCAGAAUAAGGUUAAUUAAAGUUAGAGAGUGUUGUUAUAAAUUGGAUUAGUGGAAUAAUUGGUAUAUGAUGAGUUGUAGUUAGUUCAUGGAAGUGUUUAGAAAUGAUAAGCAAGUCAAUUCAUUUAUUUGAAUUAUAGUUGGAAAGAAUGUAAAUUGUUGUUAUUGUUGUUGUGAGGUGAUUAUUGGAGAUUGGUCACGAAUUUAGAGAUGUUGGACUCUUGAAGAUUUUUAUGGAAUUGAGCGUUAUUGGAGAAUGAAAGAGAAGGGAAGUAGCUGCAAAAGCAGUGACGAACAACAUUUGUGGAGCAGGUUUGCUUAUUAUGUGUUUGGAGCGGGUAUUGCUCCGUUAUGUAGGGUCAUGACAUAAAAGUCUUGCAAGCAGAAUAUAAGAAAGGUGGAGAGACGUCCCUCAAAAGUCUGGAGACAUGGUUUACCCCUCUCCAUUCGUGUUCCUUCCCUAACGUUCAAUGCUAAUGAAUUUUUCAGGGAAUGUGGAAUCCAGCUCUGGUGUGGUUUAAGGAUCAUGGUAUUAUAAGAGAUGCUUCUCAGAUGAUCUAUGGUGGAGAUUAUAUGGUGUUAUAGGAAAGAAAUGUCACAGUGUUUUAAUGUAUUAUAUCGGAGAUUUGAUUGAUCAAUUCAUGUAAUUGUAUUUCUAUUUUGUGAUAUUGUUGUGGGCCCAUAACCCACAGGUCCAGGAUCGUUUUAUAGAUUAUAUUUCCGCUGCGAGUGAAUGUAAAUUCGAGGUUAUUAAGUGUUAAUUGAGAUUUAUAAAUGUUAAGUGUAAUUAGCUAGCA